GACGAACGCUGGCGGCGUGCUUAACACAUGCAAGUCGAACGGAAAGGCCCUGCUUGCAGGGUACUCGAGUGGCGAACGGGUGAGUAACACGUGGGUGAUCUGCCCUGCACUUCGGGAUAAGCUUGGGAAACUGGGUCUAAUACCGGAUAGGAACCAUCUUUAGUGUGGUGGUUGGAAAGUUUUUUCGGUGUAGGAUGAGCUCGCGGCCUAUCAGCUUGUUGGUGGGGUAAUGGCCUACCAAGGCGGCGACGGGUAGCCGGCCUGAGAGGGUGUACGGCCACAUUGGGACUGAGAUACGGCCCAGACUCCUACGGGAGGCAGCAGUGGGGAAUAUUGAACAAUGGGCGCAAGCCUGAUGCAGCGACGCCGCGUGGGGGAUGAAGGCCUUCGGGUUGUAAACUCAUUUCGCUAGGGACGAAGCUUUUUGUGACGGUACCUAGAUAAGAAGCACCGGCUAACUACGUG
rnacentral:rRNA from 1 species